GUGCGAUUCCUGCCAGAGGGCCGAAAGUUACAUUUUUCGAAGCUGCUCCUGGCUAGGUCUAAAUUAAUGUAUAUACAAUUUAUACUCGAAAUUUCCUUCACUAUAACCAACUAUUAAGCUCGUCAUAUCUUAACACUUACGUGAAAUCGUUGAAAAUUUCCAAACCAUGACAUUUUUCACCCCAUGGUUUUCCUUCACCAAAAUUUCUUUCUUCAGGCAUAUUCAUGAUAGCCCAUUGCAUUGCAUCCACACUGUUAUCCGGUAUUGUGUCAACUGAAGCUCUGUAUGCCAGAGGAUGUACGAUAAAGUUAUAUCUCAUACAAGUAUUUGUCUAUAUAAGAAAAUACAUGUGCGUUAGCCGUUAGGGGUUGUUCAUUAAUUGUGCCUGGUGUUAUACCGAAGAGAAACCAGUUGAUGCCCUGCGCGCUCAUAUACUAAUUGCCCGAAUGCCUUAUAUUUUCCGGAUAUACAGCCCGCGUAUUAAAACGUCUGCGGAUCGAGGUAUUCGAGGAGAGAGUUGUUGAGCGUUC
rnacentral:lncRNA from 1 species